GCAGAGUUGGAGCGGAGAUCCUCUCAGGCCACAUCUCCAGGGCGCUAAACACCUUCUGACUGGUUCUUUUGAAGAUGCAGUGGAAGUUUUGAGAAUUUAUAUGUGACAAACGAGGUUACCUAUUAAAACAUUAUAGCUAAUUACCAUCAGGGCUAAGCUAGCUUCAGAAGCCAUGCCUGUUUUUUGUUCUCAAGAUGCACAGUGUGAAUCUUUGAACAGAUUCUUGUUCUGAUUGUCCAGUCAGUGGAGUAAGUGCUCUUAACAUUUACCAGUGUUCUGCGCUUAUAGUGUACUGUAUGUUAAAACUGCAUGUUGUUGCUCUAUUGAUAUUAUCAACUCAAAAGUUGUCACCAGUGCAUGCAGGAGUGUGUGCUUGUGCUCUUUUCCCUUUAUAUUUAUCCAGCUUAAUGCUUUAUGGUUGAAUACUGUAUUUUCCUCUAAACACUGUAUUGUUAACAUUGUAAACUUGAGUAUAUUGCAGUGUUAUCUGUUUUUUGUCAACAAUAAAAAAAUGAAAUUGU